CCCAGACUCCUACGGGAGGCAGCAGUGGGGAAUAUUGCACAAUGGGGGAAACCCUGAUGCAGCGACGCCGCGUGAGCGAUGAAGUAUCUCGGUAUGUAAAGCUCUAUCAGCAGGGAAGAAAGUGAGAGUGCCUGACUAAGAAGCCCCGGCUAACUACGUGCCAGCAGCCGCGGUAAUACGUAGGGGGCAAGCGUUAUCCGGAUUUACUGGGUGUAAAGGGAGCGUAGACGGCGAUGCAAGUCUGAAGUGAAAGGCGGGGGCCCAACCCCCGGGACUGCUCUUGGAACUGCGUGGCUGGAGUGCAGGAGGGGCAGGCGGAAUUCCUGGUGUAGCGGUGAAAUGCGUAGAUAUCAGGAGGAACACCGGUGGCGAAGGCGGCCUGCUGGACUGCAACUGACGUUGAGGCCCGAAAGCGUGGGGAGCAAACAGGAUUAGAUACCCCCGUAU
rnacentral:rRNA from 1 species